GUGACUGUGGUAGCAUCUAUAUUGAUG
rnacentral:piRNA from 1 species